ACCUAGGAUAGCUCAGUGGGUAGAACAUAUAACCCUUAAUCUCAGGGUUGUGAGUUCAAGCCCCACAUUGGGUA